CUGAGAACGUGCCGCCCUCCCUUUUGCGAUGUGCAAAGAUCGUGCGCAAGUCGUGCGUUUUUUGGAGCGCCAGUCACGUACGAGUCGUUCAAGGAAUCGAAGGAAUGUACUACGGGCGCUCGUAGGACUCCGCAGCAUGUCCGCAGCUGAUGGCUGACGCCCGUGGCUACCGACACGAGACCGGCUACCGACUGCGUGACAGUAUGAAAGGUCGAUCUUGGCCCACGACUGUAAAUGGAAAACCAAAAGUGGCGGUGGCGGUGUUCUCUGUCAGAGAAACAGCAAAAGUACUAUCGCACAACGAAACAUUGCACAACUGAAGCAUCGCCUGUGCCUCAUGCUGCUGUUUCAUCAAAGAUCAAGGUCAUCGCCCUUGGAGGGACUUUAUGCAUGGCAGCAUGGUUCGAGUUCCAC